rnacentral:rRNA from 1 species
GGUCAAGCUACCAAGGGCGCAUGGGGGAUGUCUUGGCAUUAGGAGGCUUUGAAGGGCGCGGAAGGCUGCGAAAAGCCUGGGGUAACCGUCAAACAGGUGAUGAUCCCGGGAUUCCCGAACUGACUGUAACUGAAUACAUAGGUUGCAGUGGCCAACGCGGAGAACUGAAACAUCUAAGUAUCCGUAGGAAUAGAAAGAAAAAUCGAUUUCCUGAGUAGCGGCGAGCGAAAGGGAAAUAGCCCAAACCGUGGUGGUUUCCACUGCGGGGUUGUAGGGCCCUCCACCGGAGUUAUCAAACAAUUAGCUAGCAGAACGACUUGGAAAGGUCGUCCAUAGAGGGUGACAGACCCGUACGCGAAAGUUAAUUGUCUCUGGAGGGUACCCUGAGUAGGUCGAGGCACGUGAAACCUCGACUGAAUCUACGGGGACCAUCCCGUAAGGCUAAAUACUCCCUAAUGACCGAUAGUAAACAAGUAGAGCGAUCGAAAGAUGAGAAGAACCCCUGUUAGGGGAGGAAUGUGAACCUGAAACCAUGUGCCUACAAGCGGUCGGAGCGCUAUGGCCUUUUUGGCAAUGCGUGACGGCGUGCCUUUUGCAUAAUGAUCCGGCGAGUUACCGUCAGCGGCUCGGUUAAGGCCUUUCGGGCCGAAGCCAUAGGGAAACCGAGUCUGAAUAGGGCGACUAUUGGUCGCUGGUGGUAGACGCGAAACUGCACGAACUACCCAUGAGCAGGUUGAAUCGCGGGUAAAACCGCGUGGAGGACCGAACCCACUUGGGUUGAAAACCGAGGGGAUGACUUGUGGGGAGGAGUGAAAGUCUAAUCAAGCGCAGAGAUAGCUCGUUCUCUCCGAAAUAGCUUUAGGGCUAGCCUCGGGCAAUAGACAGUGGGGGUAGAGAGACUGAAUUGGAUGGGGGCCCUUCCCGGGUACCUCACCGAACCAAACUCCGAAUACCAUUGUCCGUACCCCGGGAGUCAGUCCGCGAGGGAUAAGCUUCGCGGUCGAGAGGGAAACAACCCAGACCACCUGCUAAGGUCCCCAAGUAAAACUCAGUCACUAAGGAAGUGAUUUUGCUAUGACAGCCAGGAUGUUGGCUUAGAAGCAGCCACCAUUUAAAAAGUGCGUAACAGCUUACUGGUCGAGCAAUUUUGCGCCGAUAAUGAACGGGAGUUAAGUUUUACACCGAAGCAGUGGGAUCCACUUUGUGGAUCGGUAGGAGAGCGCUGUACGUCAGAUACAAGUCGCACCGAAAGGAGCGAUGGUGGGGCGUACAGGUGAUUAUGCCGGAAUGAGUAACGAUAAAGCAGGUGAGAAUCCUGCUCGCCGAAAGCCUAAGGUUUCCUGGGGAAGGUAAAUCCGCCCAGGGUUAGCCGGUUCCUUAGUCGAGGCCGAAAGGCGUAGA